rnacentral:piRNA from 1 species
UCCAGUCCGUCCCGGCUACAGCUCC